GUCAAUUAUACCUCCAUAAACUGUACAAACAAAUUAAUUUUAAAAAACAGAAUCAAAUAAACUGAUUUAGUCUCUGGAGAUACAACAGAUAAUUAAUGUCAGAGUUCAUGACAUUUUAACCACAUACUAUGUGGAAACCAAUAUUAUAAGGGUGCCAAUUCUAAGAUUUUCAUGUUGGAAGUGAGGCUGCAGCAAAGAAAAGUAAAGCAAUAUGCAGAAAUAUAUGCAAGAUAACUCAUCUACAAAAUAAAAGAGAAAGAAUGGAUCCCCAGUGAUUUUGGUUCAAUUAUUGCCAAGCUAAACUUUGUUUCCUGAGAUUCUCUUUCUUCAUUUGAGUUUCUAUGGGUUCUUUUCAUAUUUUAAAACCAAACUAUCCAUCAUUUGAAUAGUCUUUUUAUUCAUUUAUUUAUUUUGUUUCUUUGUAGGCACAGGUCCUUGCUAUGUUGCCCAGGCUGGUCUCAAACUCCUGGUCUCAAGUGGUCCUCUCGCCUCUGCCCCCCAACAUGUUGGGAUUACAGGUAUGAGCCACCACACUUGACCUUUUCUUUCAAGCCUGGAGCAAAAACAAACAAACAAACAAAAUACUUUGUUUGGUGUUUCUAUGAAUUAAUAAGUAGGUAAC
rnacentral:lncRNA from 1 species